rnacentral:lncRNA from 1 species
AAUUAGAAAUCUUCAGACAUGUUAGUUGACAGAAUAUGCUUAAUAAAAAUGAAAAAACCUUGCUCCAAGGGUCAUCCAGUCAUGAAUAUUGUUAAGUUAAGUUCUCCUUCUUUUUAUCUUGCAUACCUAUAUAAACUUUAAAAAAAAAAAAAAAAAAAAAAGAUAAAAGCAAUCUUAAAAUAAGAGAAGUGAAUAAUGGUUCCGAUAAUUAGAAUCUGAAGAAAGUGAGACUUCAGAAAGGCAGCAAGAUGACAUGUCAGUGCAUGCCUGACUCUUCUAGUCAUCAAUGAAAAUUUUGCAAUUACAAUGUAACUUCUUAAAAAUACAAGAAAUAUAAACAUUCAAAUAUGUUUUGUCUUCUUGAUAAAAAUUACUUUCCAUAAGAAUUAAUGCUAACUCUUAGAGUUCUGUACUAUAGGAAAGAUACCACACACUAAUCAGGUAUAAUGAUUGUAGAAUUAUUUUUUAGAAGUGGUAAAUAUAGAAAGGUUAUAGACUAAGCCAGAACUCUUAGAUUCAGGUCUGUAUACAGAUUUAGCACUACUUACAUAAAAAGGAUUACCUCAUCUUUAUAUCAGCUCAGAAAUAGACCAGAGAGUACUUUUUGAAGAGCAGUUUUAGGGAGUUAAUUCAGCUUGUAAUCAAUGUUCUUCCAGUUUUGACUGCAUCUGAAGAAAACAGCCCAGAUGAAAAACAAGAGAGCCAAUUCAACAGAGAUUUGGUUGCCACUGUGUGAACAUGGCUCCUGACCUGAGGCCAGCAGGAAGGGUACCUAUAUGAGAAGGAGCUCCACAUGCCUCCAUGAAUGGCUAUCCACACCUGUCUUGGUGAUGCAGAGACCCUAUGCUUUCACUUUUGUCACUCGUACAGCCUUUUGGAGGGACAAUGUGCUGAGACCCCAGGAAAACUGCACAGUGCUUGAAGAAGAUACAUCAAAAAUCACUUUUGUUCUGAGAUCAGAUCAGGUGCAUCCAGGCUGGACUGCCUUGAGAGGACACUCUACCAGAAGAGAUGUGCCAGGACUACACUUAGUCUGCUCUAGUAGUGGAUAGGGAUUCAGCCUUCAGAUCUAGUGGUCCAAAGCAACCUGCCAACAAAUGGAGAAAUCACGUAUGCCAUGUCCUGAGCGUUGACUGAUCCAACCAGCACAGCUCUGCAGAGCCCUUCUAGCACAUCCCACCACUGGCUCACUCUGAUGGAACUUGCACAGCUGACCCAAUUCACUUAUCCCAGCCUGGUUGCUUUGACAGUCUCUUUGCCUUAGGAAGAACACUGCUUCUCUACACUUGCUUUCAGAGAAAGGCAAGCUGUUAUUCAUUAUUUCUAUUUCUUUUUCUUUUCCUGUUGUAAUUUUCGUCAAGUAGGUAUACCACCUAAAAGACAAAUGGGAAGAAGAAGGAAAUGGCCCAUUCUUUUACUGUUUAAAAUGUUGUUUCGUCUGUGUCACUUUAAUUCUAAAACAUGAGAUGCAAGGGUACAGAGAACACUGGUGUUUAUCUUGAAUCUCUGCCUUUGUUUUGAAUCAAAAACACAGCACCCAGGCCAAAGACAAUACUAAACAUCUACCGCUGAGGUCACUGAUCUGCAAUUUGUUGUGGUGACAGAUCCAAUAUUGUGCUUGGGGAACAGACUGGAUGGCUGUUAAUGCACUAUUAUAGGCACAGUUGGGAAAUUGGCUGAGCACCAGGUAACUGGAAGAACUGGAGCUUAUUACACAAGUCCAAGAGUGUUUUAACUUGUGGGUUGAUUGCUAACAUGGGGAGAGCUUUUAAAAUGUUAAUUGAUUUUUUUUCUUAAUAAUAACACAAACCAUCUGUAGCUUUGAACUUAAAUUUAACUUCUAUAAUUAAGUCAGAGCCUUCUACUACAAGAACUGUCAUACACCAAUCUUUUCAUACUAAUUUUGUUUCAGUUUGUCACAUCAUUUAAAGCCCUGGCCCACCAGAGCAAGGCUUUAAUUAACAGUAAAAUAGUUUUAAGGGAACCUCUGUAUGAAGCAUGAGGAAUUGAGUUUGGACCUGUUUGGAUAACACAGAUAAUUGACAUAGUAUUUUGUGUCUUACCAAUGUGUUUGUGGAAAGUAAGUUGUUACAUUUAUCUAUGGAUUAUCGAUGAUUAACUUUCUAGCCACUGCUUAAACCUCUUUUUUAAUGUGCAAAUUUCUCACAGCCACACACUAUACUGCAUUUGUCCAACUCUGAAAAGUCAAGACAUUAGCAACCCAUGCAACAACAAAUAAAAAUUACUGGGGAUGGGGCA